UACGUAGGGUGCGAGCGUUGUCCGGAAUUACUGGGCGUAAAGCGCACGUAGGCGGAUCGUUAAGUCGGGGGUGAAAUCCUGGAGCUCAACUCCAGAACUGCCUUCGAUACUGGCGAUCUUGAGUCCGGAAGAGGUGAGUGGAACUCCUAGUGUAGAGGUGGAAUUCGUAGAUAUUAGGAAGAACACCAGUGGCGAAGGCGGCCCGCUGGGCAGUGGCUGACACUGAGGCGCGACAGCGUGGGGAGCAAACAGG
rnacentral:rRNA from 1 species